rnacentral:rRNA from 1 species
UACGAAGGGGGCUAGCGUUGCUCGGAAUCACUGGACGUAAAGGGUGCGUAGGCGGGUCUUUAAGUCAGGGGUGAAAUCCUGGAGCUCAACUCCAGAACUGCCUUUGAUACUGAGGAUCUUGAGUUCGGGAGAGGUGAGUGGAACUGCGAGUGUAGAGGUGAAAUUCGUAGAUAUUCGCAAGAACACCAGUGGCGAAGGCGGCUCACUGGCCUGAUACUGACGCUGAGGCACGAAAGCGUGGGGAGCAAACAGG